CCUUAGCCUGCUUGCUGCGUGAGAGUAACUGCUAGAUCCUUGGAGAUGAUAACCUUCACCCCAAUGCAGUUUGAGAACACUUCCUAAAGGUUACAAUGAGACCACUGGGGGAAUAGAUCCCCAGCCUGACUCCCCGCGGGACUUCCAAGGCAGCAUAACUUCGGGUCCAGACUGGGCUGUCAGGCGUUUCCAGGAAGGAUCCAGGAACCCCUUAACUAAUCCAGGCAGUGACCUGGGAGAACUCGGGAGAACCCGUGGCAGCCCUCAGCAUCCAGCUGGUGAACCUGAUUCCUGAUUUCCGGGUAGGCCUUCAGAUGUGUUUUGCUGAAUAUCACUUUCAGAAGAUCCCGGCUAAACUUCUUCUGUACAUUGCUGAGGAUGUCGUACACGACUCUCUCCAGUGGGACCAGGGCUUCAGAGUUGCCUGAAGUUCCAGGACCAACUUGAAGAUAGAGAAGCAAACAGGAUUCCCCGAGUUCUGUCCUCACAUGACCCAACUGCCUCUGGCUCUGGGAUUUGGAGUAAGUAGGCUUUGGAAGGCAGCCCAGCUUAGGUGUGUCUACUUGCAUCCUAGUAUCUGUUGUUACAUUACACAAGUGACCCUGGGAUGCUCUGCACUUCGGAGCAUUCCUGCUUGCUAUUCGUCGCUGUCACCAUGUGCCUCAGCCUCAGUUACUGCAGAGGUGAAUGUAAAUGGUUCCUGUGAUGUCUAUCCCUCCAGUUAUCUUCUGACUUACAAAGGUGAUGUCCCUUCAUCCCUGGAGGUGCUUCAGCCUGUUGGCUGCACCCAGAAGUACAGCAUGAUACAGCACAGGGCAGGCUUGCUG
rnacentral:lncRNA from 1 species